rnacentral:rRNA from 1 species
UACGUAGGUGACGAGCGUUAUCCGGAAUACUGGGCGUAAAGCGCACGCAAGCGGUUGGACAAGUCUGGCGUGAAAUCUCCUGGCUUAACUAGGAGCGGUCGCUGGAAACUGUCGAGCUUGAGGCGAUGAGAGGGGUGCAGAAUUCCCGGUGUAGUGGUGGAAUGCGUAGAGAUCGGGAGGAAUACCAGUGGCGAAAGCGGCACCCUGGCGUCGUACUGACGCACAUGUGCGAAAGCGUGGGAGCGAACAGG